AAGACUCUGUCUCAAAAAAGAAAGAAAGAAAGUGAACGAAUUGAGUGUGAAGAAGAAGUCUAAUCUUUUCUGUCAGAAGGGCCAGUAUUCCCGGGGCAUUGUGCCAGCUCCCGCAGAUGCAAGAUGAAGACUUUGCCCUUGCCCCUGAGUGGCUGGAGAGGACACAGACGGACAAGCACCUAGAUGAGAUGAGAGGUGUAGGGGUUGGGCUUAGCUCUGCCUGUGGGAACCUGGGAAGGCUUCAUCAGGAGGUGGCGCUCAAGUUCAACUGAAAAUAUGGAUCUCCCCAGGAGUAUCGAAGAUGACGCUGUGCCUGCCCUGUAUGAACCUUCUGAAAUGUGAGCAUCUUGGAUUCCAG